UGGGGGAUAUUGCACAAUGGGCGAAAGCCUGAUGCAGCGACGCCGCGUGGGGGAUGAAGGCCUUCGGGUUGUAAACUUCUUUUGCUCUGAACAAGGCGCACCAUGGGGUGUGUUGAGUGUAGGGGUUGAUUAGCGCCGGCUAACUACGUGCCAGCAGCCGCGGUAAUACGUAGGGCGCGAGCGUUGUCCGGAAUUAUUGGGCGUAAAGGGCUUGUAGGUGGCUGGUUGCGUCUGUCGUGAAAGCUCAUGGCUUAACUGUGGGUUUGCGGUGGGUACGGGCUGGCUUGAGUGCAGUAGGGGAGGCUGGAAUUCCUGGUGUAGCUGUGGAAUGCGCAGAUAUCAGGAGGAAUACCGGUGGCGAAGGCGGGUCUCUGGGCUGUUACUGACACUGAGGAGCGAAAGCAUGGGGAGCGAACAGG
rnacentral:rRNA from 1 species